rnacentral:rRNA from 1 species
UGCCUAACGGCUGAACUGGCAACUUGGAGAAGUGGCAAGUCCUAUUUUGAUCAUAUCUUUGAAUAUGAUCUAUAGGAUUGUAUUAAAAUUGAAUAAAGCUUUGUUUAUAUAUUGAUAAUGACAGUAUAUAUAUCGUGUCUUGACUAAUUGCGUGCCAGCAGUCGCGGUAAUACGUAAGAGACUAGUGUUAUUCAUCUUAAUUAGGUUUAAAGGGUACCUAGACGGUCAAUAUAGCUUCUAUAAUGUUAGUACUUGACUAGAGUUUUAUGUAAGAGGGCAGUACUUGAGGAGGAGAGAUGAAAUUCUAUGAUACCAAAGGGACUCGGUAAAGGCGAAGGCAGCCCUCUAUGUAGAAACUGACGUUAAAGGACGAAGGCACAGAGCACAAACAGGAUUAGAUACCCAAGUAGUCUUUGCAGUAAAUGAUGAAUGCCAUAGGUCAGAUUAAGAUUUAAUAUUAUAAUUACAAAUUAUAAAUUAAACAUUAUUUGGUCUAUAAAUGAAAGUGUAAGCAUUUCACCUCAAGAGUAAUGUGG